rnacentral:rRNA from 1 species
CUCAGUUCGGAUUGGAGUCUGNAACCCGACUCCAUGAAGCUGGAUUCGCUAGUAAUCGCGCAUCAGCCACGGCGCGGUGAAUACGUUCCCGGGCCUUGUACACACCGCCCGUCACACCAUGGGAGUUUGUAACGCCCAAAGUCGGUGGCCUAACCUUUAUGGAGGGAGCCGCCUAAGGCGGGACAGAUGACUGGGGUGAAGUCGUAACAAGGUAAC